GACGAACGCUGGCGGCGUGCCUAAUACAUGCAAGUAGAACGCUGAAGGAGGAGCUUGCUUCUCUGGAUGAGUUGCGAACGGGUGAGUAACGCGUAGGUAACCUGCCUGGUAGCGGGGGAUAACUAUUGGAAACGAUAGCUAAUACCGCAUAAUAGCAGUUGUUGCAUGACAACUGUUUGAAAGGUGCAAUUGCACCACUACCAGAUGGACCUGCGUUGUAUUAGCUAGUUGGUGGGGUAACGGCUCACCAAGGCGACGAUACAUAGCCGACCUGAGAGGGUGAUCGGCCACACUGGGACGGAGACACGGCCCAGACUCCUACGGGAGGCAGCAGUAGGGAAUCUUCGGCAAUGGACGGAAGUCUGACCGAGCAACGCCGCGUGAGUGAAGAAGGUUGUCGGAUCGUAAAGCUCUGUUGUAAGAGAAGAACGAGUGUGAGAGUGGAAAGUUCACACUGUGACGGUAUCUUACCAGAAAGGGACGGCUAACUACGUG
rnacentral:rRNA from 1 species